UGGGGAAUUUUGGACAAUGGGCGCAAGCCUGAUCCAGCCAUGCCGCGUGCAGGAUGAAGGCCUUCGGGUUGUAAACUGCUUUUGUACGGAACGAAAAGGUGCCUUCUAAUAAAGGGCGCUCAUGACGGUACCGUAAGAAUAAGCACCGGCUAACUACGUGCCAGCAGCCGCGGUAAUACGUAGGGUGCGAGCGUUAAUCGGAAUUGCUGGGCGUAAAGCGUGCGCAGGCGGUUUUGUAAGACAGAGGUGAAAUCCCCGGGCUCAACCUGGGAACUGCCUUUGUGACUGCAAGGCUGGAGUGCGGCAGAGGGGGAUGGAAUUCCGCGUGUAGCAGUGAAAUGCGUAGAUAUGCGGAGGAACACCGAUGGCGAAGGCAAUCCCCUGGGCCUGCACUGACGCUCAUGCACGAAAGCGUGGGGAGCAAACA
rnacentral:rRNA from 1 species